rnacentral:rRNA from 1 species
CACGUAGAUGGCUUUGUAAGUCGGAUGUGAAAUCCCCGGGCUCAACCUGGGAACUGCAUUCGAAACUGCAUUGCUCGAAUGUGGAAGAGGGAAGCGGAAUUCCAGGUGUAGCGGUGAAAUGCGUAGAUAUCUGGAGGAACAUCAGUGGCGAAGGCGGCUUCCUGGUCCAACAUUGACAUUCAGGUGCGAAGCGUGGGGAGCAAACAGGAUUAGAUACCCUGGUAGUCCACGCCAUAAACGAUGAGAACUAGAUGUCGGGAGGGUUAGCCUUCCGGUGUCGCAGCUAACGCGUUAAGUUCUCCGCCUGGGGGAGUACGGCCGCAAGGUUGAA